rnacentral:rRNA from 1 species
GAUGAACGCUGGCGGCGUGCCUAAUACAUGCAAGUCGAGCGAACGGACGAGAAGCUUGCUUCUCUGAUGUUAGCGGCGGACGGGUGAGUAACACGUGGAUAACCUACCUAUAAGACUGGGAUAACUUCGGGAAACCGUAGCUAAUACCGGAUAAUAUUUUGAACCGCAUGGUUCAAAAGUGAAAGACGGUCUUGCUGUCACUUAUAGAUGGAUCCGCGCUGCAUUAGCUAGUUGGUAAGGUAACGGCUUACCAAGGCAACGAUGCAUAGCCGACCUGAGAGGGCGAUCGGCCACACUGGAACUGAGACACGGUCCAGACUCCUACGGGAGGCAGCAGUAGGGAAUCUUCCGCAAUGGGCGAAAGCCUGACGGAGCAACGCCGCGUGAGUGAUGAAGGUCUUCGGAUCGUAAAACUCUGUUAUUAGGGAAGAACAUAUGUGUAAGUAACUGUGCACAUGUUGACGGUACCUAAUCAGAAAGCCACGGCUAACUACGUG